GACGAACGCUGGCGGCGUGCUUAACACAUGCAAGUCGAACGAAGAGCGAUGGAAGCUUGCUUCUAUCAAUCUUAGUGGCGCCCGGGUGAGUAACGCGUAAUCAACCUGCCCUUCAGAGGGGGACAACAGUUGGAAACGACUGCUAAUACCGCAUACGAUCUAAUCUCGGCAUCGAGGAUAGAUGAAAGGUGGCCUCUACAUGUAAGCUAUCACUGAAGGAGGGGAUUGCGUCUGAUUAGCUAGUUGGAGGGGUAACGGCCCACCAAGGCGAUGAUCAGUAGCCGGUCUGAGAGGAUGAACGGCCACAUUGGGACUGAGACACGGCCCAGACUCCUACGGGAGGCAGCAGUGGGGAAUCUUCCGCAAUGGACGAAAGUCUGACGGAGCAACGCCGCGUGAGUGAUGACGGCCUUCGGGUUGUAAAGCUCUGUUAAUCGGGACGAAAGGCCUUCUUGCGAAUAGUGGGAAGGAUUGACGGUACCGGAAUAGAAAGCCACGGCUAACUACGUG
rnacentral:rRNA from 1 species